rnacentral:tRNA from 1 species
UAGAAGAUAGUAUAAUGGUAAUAUUGGAAGUUUUGAUCUUUUAGAUUUGAGUUCGAGUCUCGGUCUUCUAG